rnacentral:rRNA from 1 species
GACGAACGCUGGCGGCGUGCUUAACACAUGCAAGUCGAACGGUAAGGCCCUUCGGGGUACACGAGUGGCGAACGGGUGAGUAACACGUGGGUGAUCUGCCCUGCACUUCGGGAUAAGCCUGGGAAACUGGGGCUAAUACCGGAUAGGACGCCGGACUGCAUGGUCUGGGGUGGAAAGCUUUUGCGGUGUGGGAUGGGCCCGCGGCCUAUCAGCUUGUUGGUGGGGUGAUGGCCUACCAAGGCGACGACGGGUAGCCGGCCUGAGAGGGUGACCGGCCACACUGGGACUGAGAUACGGCCCAGACUCCUACGGGAGGCAGCAGUGGGGAAUAUUGCACAAUGGGCGCAAGCCUGAUGCAGCGACGCCGCGUGAGGGAUGACGGCCUUCGGGUUGUAAACCUCUUUCAGCAUCGACGAAGCGGAAGUGACGGUAGGUGCAGAAGAAGGACCGGCCAACUACGUGCCAGCCGCCGCCGUAA